CCUACGGGGGGCAGCAGUCGGGAAAAUUUUGCAAUGCGCGAAAGCGUGACAGAGCAAGCCAGAGUGCGUCUCUAUUUUUGAGACGCUUUUGUGAGAUGUAGAUAGUCUUACGAAUAAGGACUGGGAGAGACUGGUGCCAGCCGCCGCGGUAAUCCCAGCAGUCCAAGUCGCAGCCACAUUUGUUGGGUCUAAAACAUCCGUAGCUUGCUUUGUAAGUCGUGUGUGAAAUCUGGCCUCUUAAGGGUCGGGCGUGCACACGAUACUGCAAAGCUUGAGACCGGGAGACGCAGGGAGUACAUAUGGGGUAGCGGUAAAAUGUGUUGAUCCUAUAUGGACUAACAAUAGCGAAGGCACCCUGCGAGAACGGAUCUGACAGUGAGGGAUGAAGGCUAGGGGCGCAAAGUGGAUUAGAUACCCCAGUAGUC
rnacentral:rRNA from 1 species